rnacentral:lncRNA from 1 species
CAUUACCAAACCUGGGAUCCUGUCUCUUGGAGUAAUUGCAUAUGUUUGGACAUGCCUUCUGCCUAACUCGAAAUCCUUUCUUUACUCUAGAACUCUGAUAGCAUGUCAAGAAAACGGACAUUGGGUCUAACUCGGCCUUAAAAUUUAUCUGAUGAUGUGAGGUUUACCCAAAAUCAUAUAAACACACAACUCCUCAUUCCUCAAAUAAUGUACGUCAAUCUAACACCAAAACAUACGCAUAAAGCCAUGCAGCAAAAAGGAAAAGAAAAGGAAAUGAUGAUAGUUUUUUCCCCUUACCAAAAUCGUC